rnacentral:rRNA from 1 species
UAAACGACUCUCGGCAACGGAUAUCUCGGCUCUCGCAUCGAUGAAGAACGUAGCGAAAUGCGAUACUUGGUGUGAAUUGCAGAAUCCCGUGAACCAUCGAGUCUUUGAACGCAAGUUGCGCCCGAAGCCUUCUGGCCGAGGGNACGCCUGCCUGGGCGUCACGCA